GACAGAGGUCCCGAGCGUUAGGCGGAAUCACUGGGCUUAAAGCGUGUGUAGGUGGAUGCCUAAGUACCUUGUGAAAUCCCACGGCUUAACCGUGGAAUUGCUUGGUAUACUGGGUGUCUUGAGCCACUUAGGGGCAACCGGAACAAAUGGUGGAGCGGUGAAAUGCGUAGAUAUCAUUUGGAACGCCAAUGGUGAAAACAGGUUGCUGGGAGUGUGCUGACACUGAGACACGAAAGCCAGGGGAGCAAACGGG
rnacentral:rRNA from 1 species